GUUAAUACUCAUUUUCAUCAAUAAUAUCAACGUAAAUUAAAAAUAAUAACCAGAGAAUCUAAAAAUUAUGUAUACUGAAUUAGUUGGUUUUAUAUAAAUACUAGUGGUAUUCGUAUAUAUAUAUUUUAAUGAAUUUACAAUUCAUAUUAUGGUUUUAUUAAACAAAAUAUAUCAAAUUCCAGGAAAGUUCCACAAAUAUGUAGAAAAUAUUUCGAUAGAGAACACUUUCCACCAAAAAAAAAACUACAAAGCUCGCUCUAAAAACCAAAUGAAAAAAAAACAAAUUAAUCUUAGCUUGACAAAAAACAUCAACAACAAAAGAACACAAAAAAUCUUCACAAAUAGUAUCAAUAGUCCCACUGUCAA
rnacentral:lncRNA from 1 species